GAUCAGGUAGGGAUACCCGCUGAACUUAAGCAUAUCAAUAAGCGGAG
rnacentral:rRNA from 1 species